AUUGAACGCUGGCGGCAGGCCUAACGCAUGCAAGUCGAGCGGGGUUUUCGGACCUAGCGGCGGACGGGUGAGUAAUGCGUAGGAAGCUGCCCGAUAGAGGGGGAUACCAGUUGGAAACGACUGUUAAUACCGCAUAAUGUCUACGGACCAAAGUGUGGGACCCUCGGGCCACAUGCUAUCGGAUGCGCCUACGUGGGAUUAGCUAGUUGGUGAGGUAAUGGCUCACCAAGGCGACGAUCUCUAGCUGGUUUGAGAGGAUGAUCAGCCACACUGGAACUGAGACACGGUCCAGACUCCUACGGGAGGCAGCAGUGGGGAAUAUUGGACAAUGGGCGCAAGCCUGAUCCAGCCAUGCCGCGUGUGUGAAGAAGGCCUUCGGGUUGUAAAGCACUUUCAGCGAGGAGGAAGGGGUGUGUGUUAAUAGUACACACCUUUGACGUUACUCGCAGAAGAAGCACUGGCUAACUCUGUGCCAGCAGCCGCCGUAACAC
rnacentral:rRNA from 1 species